ACAGGGAUUGCCUCAGUAACGGCGAGUGAAGCGGCAACAGCUCAAAUUUGAAAUCUGGUCCCCUCUGGGGGCCCGAGUUGUAAUUUGAAGAGGAUGCUUUUGGCGAGGCGCCUUCCGAGUGCCCUGGAACGGGACGCCACAGAGGGUGAGAGCCCCGUAUGGUAGGACGCCGAGCCUCUGUAAAGCUCCUUCGACGAGUCGAGUAGUUUGGGAAUGCUGCUCAAAAUGGGAGGUAAACCCCUUCUAAAGCUAAAUAUUGGCCAGAGACCGAUAGCGCACAAGUAGAGUGAUCGAAAGAUGAAAAGCACUUUGAAAAGAGAGUUAAACAGCACGUGAAAUUGUUGAAAGGGAAGCGCUUGCGACCAGACUUGCGCCCGUCGGAUCAACCGUCCCUCGUGGGCGGCGCACUCCGGCGGGCUCAGGCCAGCAUCAGUUUUCCUGGGGGUAGAAAGGCGGUGGGAAUGUAGCUCUUCGGAGUGUUAUAGCCCGCCGCGUAAUGCCCUCGGGGGGACUGAGGACCGCGCGUAUGCAAGGAUGCUGGCGUAAUGGUCGUCAGCGACCCGUCUUGAAACACGGACCAAGGAGUCGUCCUAAUAUGCGAGUGUACGGGUGUAAAACCCCUGCGCGUAAUGAAAGUGAACGGAGGUGAGAGCUUCGGCGCAUCAUCGACCGAUCCUGAUGUUCUCGGAUGGAUUUGAGUAAGAGCAUAUUGGGCCGGACCCGAAAGAAGGUGAACUAUGCCUGUAUAGGGUGAAGCCAGAGGAAACUCUGGUGGAGGCUCGCAGCGGUUCUGACGUGCAAAUCGAUCGUCAAAUAUGGGCAUGGGGGCGAAAGACUAAUCGAACCU
rnacentral:rRNA from 1 species